CGCGGGGUAGAGCAGUUGGUAGCUCGUCGGGCUCAUAACCCGGAGGCCACAGGUUCAAGUCCUGUCCCCGCAACCA
rnacentral:tRNA from 1 species